AUUGAACGCUGGCGGCAUGCCUUACACAUGCAAGUCGAACGUGAAAGCGGGGCAACCCGCAAGUAGAGUGGCGGACGGGUGAGUAAUACAUCGGAACGUGUCCAGUAAUGGGGGAUAACCUAGCGAAAGUUAGGCUAAUACCGCAUACGAUCUGCGGAUGAAAGCGGGGGAUGCGGCACUAAAAGCUUUUGGUGAAGGUCGCCAAAGGCAGGUCAAGAGCUUUUAGUGCUGCACCUCGCGUUAUUGGAGCGGCUGAUGUCUGAUUAGCUAGUUGGUGAGGUAAAGGCUUACCAAGGCGACGAUCAGUAGCUGGUCUGAGAGGACGGCCAGCCACACUGGGACUGAGACACGGCCCAGACUCCUACGGGAGGCAGCAGUGGGGAAUUUUGGACAAUGGGGGCAACCCUGAUCCAGCCAUGUCGCGUGAGUGAA
rnacentral:rRNA from 1 species